rnacentral:rRNA from 1 species
AUGGAGAUGGGGAGGUGCGCUCGUCGGAGGAAGCAGGAGCUUAGUGGUGGGGGAUGCAAGGGGCUCGCCCACCUUGGGGAGGAGGAAGCAGGAGGCGUCGGCUUGUGGCUGCACCAGUGGCCGUGGAGGUCGGAUCCGGUGGCGGAGGCGUCGCCAGGGGCUGGUGGCGGCCGGAUCAGGUGGCGGGGGCGUCGCCAGGGGCCGGUGGCGGCCGGAUUCGAUGGCGGAGGCGUCGCCAGGGGCCGGUGGCGGCUGGAUCCAGUGGCGGAGGCGUCGCCAGGGGCCGGUGGCGGCCGGAUCCGGUGGCGGAGGCAUCGCCAGGGGCCGGUGGCGGCCGGAUCCCGCCAUGGCCGCGGGGGGCGCAGACGGUUGGCGGGUGUUGGGGGCGCGCCAGCCGUGGGAGGGUGCUAG